GGUCAACGUUAGAUGUCGACCAAAGACAAGCGAAAUGGAACACGUUUUCCCCAAGUCCUUCCUUCCGGCUGUGAGAGGAGAGGACCCAGCUGAUGUUUGAUCUGAGCUGAUGCCUUCACAUUUCAGGCCUCCCUGAGAUCUGAAGUAUGGAAGCUCCUACUAGUCCUUUGGACGGCCCAAUUUUGAAGCUUCCAUGGAAGCUCGACAAGCUACUGCGCCACGGAUUCAUCCUGCCCAAGGGCGUGGAAGAUGAGAUACCUCUCAUCAAGCGUGAUCUUGGGGAAAUCAUAUCCAUUCUUUCAAACCUGGACGACCACCAUGCUAUGAAGGUCAGUUGCUGGAGAAAGGAAGUGCGGGAGCUGUCCUACGAUAUGGAGGACUUCGUCGACCAGUACGAGCACGCCACUGCCAUGUCCUUGGCUGGCUCCGUUCCUCGCCGCAAGAUUAUUCAGAAGCGUAAGAGCAAGGCCGCUCUCUCCAGGCCCUGGAAGAAGCUGAAGCAGCGUCUGUGGAUGGCCAACAAGAUUAGAGAAUUCAGCAUGCGCACACAGGAGGCACUUCAACGGCACCGCAUGUAUCAUCUUGACGCCAUUGCUGUCUCUGGUUCCACCACAUCCACUAGAUGUACAUGUACUGAUGCUUGUUCUAACUCCUCACAUUCCACACCGUGUGGGGAAGAGAACGCCUAUGUUGGCAUCAGUGCUGCUAUGGAAAAACUCCAAGAGUUGCUCCUGACGAUGCAUGAUGAAGGGGACUGGAGGCUUAAAGUUGUGUCCAUAGUUGGGUUGGGAGGAAUCGGUAAAACAACUCUUGCCAACGAAUUUUACCGGAAGCUUGGACCGCAGUUUGAAUGCCGUGCAUUUGUUCGGACCUCCCAGAAACCUGAUACGAGAAGGAUUUUCAUCAGUAUGCUCUCCCAAAUUCGACCACACCAGCUACCUGACAAUUGGACAGUACAUAGCUUGAUUUCCACCAUCAGGACACAUCUGCAAGAUAAGAGAUACUUGAUUAUAGUUGAAGAUAUAUGUGUAACUACAACAUGGGACAUUGUUAAAUGUGCGUUACCAGAUAAUAAUUGUGGCAGCAGAAUACUAACAACAACAGAAAUUGAGGAUCUAGCUCUGGCAUCUUCUGACCAUGAUCCCAAGUUUGUUUAUAAGAUGCAACCACUUAGUGAAGAUGAUUCACGGAAAUUAUUUUUUAGUUCACUUUGUGGCAUUCAACAUGAAUGUCCUCCAAAUCUCAGGGAAAUUUCUUACAAUGUUAUUAGCAAAUGUGGUGGUUUGCCACUGGCUAUUGUGACUGUUGCCAGUAUUUUAUCAAGUCAGCAAGGCAUACAAGAUCAAUUGGAUUAUGUCAAUAAAUCAAUAGGUUACAGUUUGUUGAUGAAUCCUAUCUCGGAAGGGAUGAAACAAGUCCUCGACCUUAGUUACAAUAGCCUUCCCCAGAAUUUGAAAGCGUGCAUCUUAUACACUGGUCUGUAUGAAGAGGACAUCAUAAUUUGGAAGGAUGAUUUAGUCAACCAGUGGAUAGCUGAAGGUUUUAUUGAGGCAACAGAAGGGCAAGAUAAGAAAGAAAUUGCCAGAUCUUAUUUUGAUAGGCUUAUCAGUAGAAAACUGAUCCUCCCUGUAUAUAUAAAUAAAAAUGGUGAGGUAUUGUCCUGCGUGGUUCACCGUAUGGUGCUAAAUCUUGUUAUCAGAUACAAGUCAAUAGAAGAGAAUUUUGUCACUCCAAUACAUAAUUCUCAAGCAACCACCACACUUUCUGACAAGGUGCGUCGACUGUCUCUUCAAUUUGGCAAUGCAGAAGAUGCAAUUCCUCCAACAAAUAUGAGACUGUCACAAGUCAGAACAGUUGCCUUUUGGGGGGUCCUCAAGUGUUUACCUACUAUUGUGCAGUUUACUCUUCUUCAAGUUCUAAUUCUCCAUUUUUGGGGCGAUAAGGAUAGCAUCAACUUUGAUCUCAAUAGAAUUUCAGAACUUUUCCGUCUGAGAUAUUUGAAGGUCACAUCUAAUGUCACCUUAGAGCUAGGGAACCAGAUGCGUGGCUUGGAUACUUUGGAAACACUUACAAUAGAUGCAAGAGUUAAUGCAAUUCCAUCAGAUAUUGUUCACUUGCCAGGCUUGCUGCACUUUAGUGUUCCCCCAGAGACAGACCUGCCUAAUGGGAUUAGCCAUAUGACAUCGCUUCGCACACUUGGAUAUUUUGAUCUUAGUAGUAAUUCAAUAGAGAAUGUACAGAGCCUUAGCAUGCUGACCAAUCUCGUAGAUCUUAAACUCACCUGUUCUACAGUACAGGUACAGACAGAACAUAUGUAUAACAAAAUGGAGCUCCUGCUGAACACAGUUCUUGGGAGACUCAGCAGCCUCAAGUCCCUAACUCUGGUACCAAGAGCUUCCAGUUAUGCAAACUCUAUCCAUGAUCCUGGUACUACGGGCAUGAUCAUUUCUGGUGGCCUCUGCAGUUUGUUGUCUGCUCCAGGCCUUCUUCAGAGUCUUGAGAUUUCGCCCUGGAUUUAUAUAUUCUUGUGCCCCCCAAAGUGGAUCGGACAACUCCACAAUCUGUGCAUUUUAAAGUUUGGGGUUAUAAAAAUUGACAGGGAUGAUGUCAAUGUUCUCAGAGGAUUGCCUGCUCUUGCUGUUCUCUCCCUGUAUGUUCAGACCAAGCCUGCAGAGAGGGUAGUCAUUGGGAAGACCGGAUUUCCAGUAAUAAAAUACUUCAGGUUCAAAUGCUGUGGCCCUUGGCUGAAAUUCGAGGAGGGAGCUAUGCCUAAUCUCCGAAAGCUGAAGCUUGCUUUCAAUGCCUGCAAUCCUGUUGAAUUGAUCACAAUACCUGUCGGCAUCAGGUACUUGUCAAACCUGAAAGAGGUGUCUGCAAAAAUUGGUGGUGCCAGUCCUGAUGAAUCCCACAGAAAGGCGCGCGCUACCGAAUUAGCAUUGAGAGAUGAAAUCAGGGUACAUGGUAGGUGCCAGAGAGUCAAUAUUCAAUGCGUAAAGCAGAUAAUUGGUGGUAAGGAUGAUCAGAGUUACAUAACAACAGUGGAAGAUCAUGUAACCUUAAAACUAAAACAAAACAAGAUCAAAGAUGAGGACGAGGAAAACUCCAUUGAACAAGUUGAGAUUACGAAGGACCACAGCCGGGCGCAUCAGUUCAGCCUGCCCAAGACCAAGACAUCGUCGGAGACGGCGGCCGUCGCCGUCGAUAAGCUCCUCCACUUCCAUGACGCCUUGCCCUUGAAGACGACCACACACCCACGCAGCAUCGCCGAGCGGGAGAGGAGGAUGAAGAUCAGCGAACGAAUCAGGAAGCUGCAAGAGCUCGUACCCAACAUGGACAAGCAAAGCAACAUCCCUGACAUGCUGGACUUGGCCGUAGACUACAUCAAGGAUCUCCAGAAGCAGAUCAAGGUGCGAGCGAGCCAACUAAAAAAAAACCUAUCCGUAGCUUGCACUUAGCCACUGAAGUCCAAAUCACGGAGGAUGACGAUCUUAGCCAGUGGCUGACGGCGAGGGUCACCUGCAGUUACAUAGCGUUGAACGAGAGCCGCGCCAGGUGCAGCUGCUCGGCGAGCAAGCAUCAGUAGUUCUCCAGCUGAAGCUCAGUACAACAUGUCUCAGAAGGCAUUUUGUUCAAGUUAUUUCUUCAAAAUGGCUCAAAUUCUUGUUGCAUAAAGACAUUUAUCUCAAAACGCCUCUGAAAAUUUAUUUCUGACGGCCAAAUUGAAAAACGCCUUAAUUACCUAGAACAAUUGGAGAUAUUUUGUCAAAAA